rnacentral:rRNA from 1 species
AAAUUGAAGAGUUUGAUCAUGGCUCAGAUUGAACGCUGGCGGCAGGCCUAACACAUGCAAGUCGAACGGUAACAGGAAGAAGCUUGCUUCUUUGCUGACGAGUGGCGGACGGGUGAGUAAUGUCUGGGAAACUGCCUGAUGGAGGGGGAUAACUACUGGAAACGGUAGCUAAUACCGCAUAAUGUCGCAAGA